UGUUUAAGCUGUGUGUCAAGAGAAAGACGGCUGAAAUCCUUUGUGCAAACAAGCGCCAGAAACUCAAAUCCCUGCCUGUCUUCUCAGAAACAAACUUGCCCAGCGUCUUCUGUGUGGUUUGGAGAAAUGAUGUUGGAGGCCACUCUUCAGUGGCCUCGCAUCGCCGCCUCUGCACGGAGGUGUCCAGGCAGGAGUGACGGGAGGCCCCAGACAUUCCAGGCUGCUCUCCCCAGGUCCUGAGGAUCCGAGACUGUGAAUAAGAAGGCUGGACCCCUAGCAUGUGUGAGAUGGAGGACUGGGUCACGGCCGUCUGUGGGCUGGUUCCCGGAGCCCAGGAGCACACCGGCAGAGAGAGGGGCCGCCUGGAAACGGGUGACUCCGGGUGCUGGCAGACGUCACUCAGGCAGAAGCUUGGAGGCACACUUACCUGCCUCCACUAGUCCUUGGGCACCUCUGCCAUCUGUGUGAGCAGGGCCUGAGCUCCUGGACUGAGGACGGAGAGGAGAUGCUCAUUCACCCCAGCAGAACUUCAGACGAGUGACCUGGGGUGAGCAUCUCUCCCAGCACGACACCUGGGCC
ensembl:lncRNA